rnacentral:lncRNA from 1 species
UUAGUCCUCUGCAAGAGCAACAGUUGAGCCAUCCCUUCAGCCCCAGAUCUUGUUUAAAACAAGAGCACGUGUCAUUCCGAUUUUAAAGCCCACAUUAAACACACAGUUGAAAAGAAAUGUAUGAACAGUUGGGGGUUUACUGUGAUCUUGGGGAUUGUUUUCCCAUCCGUACAAAAUGAUCAACAGAGUUAACAGGGAGACAACUAGGAUGAGAAUUAUUAAUACCCGGGAUAAGAUCUCUUCAAUCUUAAAUCAAUAUUGCUCUUAAAUCAUUCAUGGCUUCGGGUAGCCACAGAGUAAUGUAUUCAUAUGUUUACACUGUCCUUGCCAUACUCGCUCACGCCGUCCCCAAGGCCUGUAUUUGAAUUCCUGUACAUUUGAAUUUCUCUUGAGUGGUACUCAGAUUCAUCUUUAUUGUCAGCUUGAUUGGUGCAGGAUCACCUUGGAAUCCCGCUUCUGCUCUGACUGUACUGACGCUUCCAGAGAGGAACGACUAAGGAGCAGAGGCCACCUCGGAUGUGGCUGGCACCAUCUCACAGGGCCCUGGGCUGACUGCAAAGGAGAAAGUGAGCUGAGAGCACUUAUAUCCGUGAUAGUGUGACAGUGUGAUGCAUGUGAUGACCAUGAUGGCGUGAUGAUGUCAUGGCUAUGAUGGCGGCGUGAUGGCAAGACAGCCGUGAUAGUGGUUUUGAGCCCCUGUUACCAGGGCUUCCCAGGGUAAUGGGUUCCACUCCUAAACCCUGAGCCAAAGAAAUCCUUCCUUAUUUUGUUGUCCUUUGUUUGUUGUUUGUUUGUUUGUUUGUUUGUUUGUUUUUGAGGCAGGAUCUUACUCUGUAACUUCAGCUGUCCUGGAAAUCACUCUGUAGACCAGGCUGGCCCCGAACUAGAAAUCCGCCUGCCUCUGCCUCCCAAGUGCUGGGAUUAAAGGCGUGUGCCACCACCACCCGGCUAGUAGACAAUGCUAUCUAUGAGGAGUGACCAGCCCAAGCCUAACUCUGCAUGGUCUUAGUGUGCAUGUGCAUGCAUGCACAUGCAUGUGUGUAUAUGUGUGAGUACAUUCGUGCAUGUGUUACAUGCACACACGCGUAGGGAGGAACAUGUACUGGUGCACACUUAGUGGUCAGAGGAAGAUGUCAGGUGUUCUGCUGUCUUAGGGUUUCUGUUGCUGUAACAAAACACCAUGACCAAAACUAACUUAGGGAUGAAGAAGUUAUUUUAUCUUACACUUCCAGGUCAAUCACAGAAGAAAUCUGGGUGGAACUAAAGCGAAGUAGGAACCUGGAGGCAGGAGCUGAUGCAGAGAACACGGAGGGGCGCUGCUUACUGACUUGCUCCCCAUAGAUUGCUCAGCCUGCUUUCUUAUAUAACCCAGGAAUGCAUCAGUCCACAAUAACAGUUCUCAACCUGUGGCUGGAGACUCCUUCACGGGGGUCGUGUAAGACCAUUGGAAAACACAAACAUUCACAUUACAAUUCAGACCAGUAGCAAAACUAAAAUUGUGAAGUAGCAAUGAAAACAAUUUUAAGGUCAGAAGUCACCAAAACAUGACUAAAGGUGUGGGAAGCCAUAUGUGCCGUUGCAGAGUGGCACUGACUACUGCUGGCCACCACGCAUAAGUUUGGACAAACAACCAAUGUGUACGUAUGCAGUAAAGUUUUUUGCAAAGACACUGCCUGGCCCGGGCAUGAUAAUGAGGCUUUGAGAGUAUAACCAAUCAGAUGUGAGACAUGCAAAUGAGGUAUGAUAAUGAGGCUCUGUGAGGUACAGAGAGAGAGAGAGAGAG